GGGGAAGAAGUCCCGGGCGGUACCCGGCCGUAGGCCCAUUCUGCAGCUCUCUCCGCCGGGUCCUCGGGGCAGCACGCCGGGCCGGGACCCGGAGCCGGAACCCGACAGUGAACCGGACUCAACGGCGGCGGUCCCCAGCCAGCCCGCCCCGUCGGCGGCGACGACCACCACCGCGGUGACUGCCGCCGCGGCCUCGGACGACUCGCCUUCAGAAGAUGAACAGGAAGCGGUGCAGGAGGUUCCUAGAGUUGUUCAGACUCCUCCAAAACCAGUCAUGACCACUAGACCCACAGCUGUUAAAGCAACAGGCGGUCUAUGCUUACUUGGUGCUUAUGCUGACAGUGAUGACGAUGACAAUGAUGUUUCCGAAAAACCAGCACAAUCCAAAGAGACAAAUGGAAACCAGUCAACUGAUAUUGAUAGUACAUUGGCCAACUUCCUAGCGGAGAUCGAUGCCAUAACAGCUCCUCAGCCUGCAGCUCCUGUAGGAGCUUCUGCUCCACCUCCAACUCCACCUCGACCAGAGCCAAAGGAAGCAGCAACAUCUACCCUUUCUUCUUCUACUUCAAAUGGAACAGACUCCACCCAAACAUCUGGAUGGCAAUAUGAUACUCAGUGUUCACUGGCAGGAGUCGGAAUUGAGAUGGGCGAUUGGCAGGAAGUCUGGGAUGAGAACACGGGAUGUUAUUAUUAUUGGAAUACACAAACAAAUGAAGUGACUUGGGAGUUACCCCAGUAUCUUGCCACACAGGUACAGGGAUUACAGCAUUACCAGCCCAGUUCUGUGCCAGGUGCUGAAACUAGUUUUGUGGUAAAUACAGACAUAUAUUCUAAGGAGAAAAUGAUUUCUGUUUCCAGUAGUAAAAGUGGACCAGUCAUAGCCAAGCGAGAAGUUAAAAAGGAAGUAAAUGAAGGAAUUCAGGCUCUCUCAAAUAGUGAGGAGGAGAAGAAAGGGGUGGCAGCAUCGCUGCUUGCUCCUUUAUUGCCUGAGGGAAUAAAAGAAGAAGAAGAGAGAUGGAGAAGAAAAGUAAUUUGUAAAGAAGAGCCAGUUUCAGAAGUAAAAGAAACAAGUACAACAGUAGAAGAAGCAACAACAAUAGUAAAGCCACAGGAAAUUAUGUUGGACAAUAUAGAAGACCCUUCUCAGGAGGAUCUUUGCAGUGUUGUCCAAUCUGGAGAAAGUGAGGAGGAAGAGGAACAAGAUACCCUUGAACUGGAGCUAGUUUUGGAAAGGAAAAAAGCAGAGUUGCGAGCCUUGGAGGAAGGAGAUGGUAGUGUGUCAGGGUCUAGUCCACGUUCUGAUAUCAGCCAGCCAGCAUCUCAAGAUGGAAUGCGUAGGCUUAUGUCUAAAAGAGGAAAAUGGAAGAUGUUUGUUCGAGCUACCAGUCCAGAAUCUACCAGCAGGAGUUCUAGUAAAACUGGACGAGAUACUCCAGAAAAUGGAGAAACUGCAAUUGGUGCUGAAAAUUCAGAAAAAAUAGAUGAGAAUUCAGAUAAAGAGGUGGAAGUAGAAGAAUCUCCAGAGAAAAUAAAAGUACAAACAACACCAAAAGUAGAAGAAGAACAGGAUUUGAAAUUUCAGAUUGGAGAACUGGCAAAUACCCUGACAAGUAAAUUUGAAUUUCUAGGCAUUAAUAGACAAUCCAUCUCCAACUUUCAUGUGCUGCUCUUACAGACUGAGACUCGAAUUGCAGACUGGCGGGAAGGGGCUCUUAAUGGAAACUACCUUAAACGAAAACUUCAGGAUGCAGCAGAACAACUAAAACAGUAUGAAAUAAACGCCACUCCUAAAGGCUGGUCCUGCCACUGGGACAGGUACGCACUCUUCUCCCCUUUUCACCUUUCACCUUUGACAUCUCAGACAUGAUUUGUGAUCACCACCAUCUGACGACAUGACAGCCUGUCUGGAGACUGAGAGCAGCUGCAGUUAGCGGUGCUGGGCAGGCAAAGCACCGCAAGCACAAAGUUUGGCCAGCCACACAUUGGAGAAACAAAAGCAAUGUUUAAAGUGUUCCAUGUAACGGAUUUUUUCCCAAGAUAUGGACAAAGCUGGUUUUUACUCUCCAGAGUGUUGCACGGAGUAGGGCGGGCUUGGGGGUUAAGCGCAUGCGAGAGCUCUGUGCGCUUUACAGGACCUCUGGAAGCAACUACUCCUGAUUAACCUCGGUGAAGUUAAGGAAAACUUCGUGGCUGAAGAUGUGAAUGAAGAACAAGAUUACUAUCCUCUGCCAGCAGGUCAGAUGAAAACAUUUCUUUAUAUAUUUGGCUUUUCUUGAUUUUUUUUUCGUUAUUUGAAAUCUUUGCUCUUUUAUUUUUCAGCUCCCAGAUCCUCUCCCUCUCUUUAGCUUUCACUGUGUUUGAUAUCAAGAAUAUGAAAUGUGAAUUCCACGGUCCAAGAGGGGAAGAGUCACCUUUCACAAACUUCGUUGUUCUCUUCUUUGGAAGGGAAAUUAGUGUUCUAGGCGAUUGAGUCCCUUCAUUAAUGAAACUUGAAACCCUGUUAUGCAUUGGC
rnacentral:sRNA from 1 species